UACGAAGGGGGCUAGCGUUGCUCGGAAUCACUGGGCGUAAAGGGUGCGUAGGCGGGUCUUUAAGUCAGGGGUGAAAUCCUGGAGCUCAACUCCAGAACUGCCUUUGAUACUGAAGAUCUUGAGUUCGGGAGAGGUGAGUGGAACUGCGAGUGUAGAGGUGAAAUUCGUAGAUAUUCGCAAGAACACCAGUGGCGAAGGCGGCUCACUGGCCCGAUACUGACGCUGAGGCGCGAAGGCGUGGGGAGCGAACGGG
rnacentral:rRNA from 1 species